UACGUAGGGUGCGAGCGUUAAUCGGAAUUACUGGGCGUAAAGCGUGCGUAGGCGGUCCGCUGUGUCCCGUGUGAAAGCCCCGGGCUCAACCUGGGAAUUGCAUGGGAAACUGGCGGGCUUGAGUGCGGCAGAGGGGGGUGGAAUUCCGCGUGUAGCAGUGAAAUGCGUAGAGAUGUGGAGGAACACCAAUGGCGAAGGCAGCCUCCUGGGCCAACACUGACACUCAUGCACGAAAGCGUGGGGAGCAAACAGG
rnacentral:rRNA from 1 species